rnacentral:rRNA from 1 species
GUGCCAGCAGCCGCGGUAAUACGGGGGGUGCGAGCGUUGUCCGGAAUCACUGGGCGUAAAGGGCGCGUAGGUGGUUUGAUAAGGGUGUGGUGAAAGUCCGGGGCUCAACCCCGGAUCUGCCGUGCCGACUGUCAAACUCGAGGACUGUAGAGGCAGACGGAAUUCCGGGUGUAGCGGUGGAAUGCGUAGAGAUCCGGAGGAAGACCGGUGGCGAAGGCGGUCUGCUGGGCAGUUUCUGACACUGAGGCGCGACAGCGUGGGGAGCAAACAGGAUUAGAAACCCUUGUAGUCC